CCCUGCAAUACCUAAAAGUAGUACAUAACUACAUUGACUAAUUUAUAUGUUUAUAUAUGUAGUUAUCUAUUGCCUAAUGUAUUUAUUUCAGGAUUUAUUGUAUUGCCAUAUUUACUUAUUUGUUUAAUAUUGAAUAAAUAAUAAAUACGUUUGCCUUAUAAUCAUGUAAAGGCAACAUCACUCUUCAAAAUGUUAAUCUAAAAUAGAAAGGUUGUAAUUAACAACGUACAUAAAUGUAUUUCAAGUUCAAAUUUAUAUGUAGAGCACAGUCCCAUACAAAAACAAAUUAAAUGACCUUAGAGAAUGAUAAAAAAGUAGAAAAUAAUACAGGGAAAGUGAUUCACAGAACACAAGUUAAUACAUUUUAAACUAAUUCUGCAUGUACAGUACAGUGACAGAGAUUACGAGGAGCAUUGAAAGCAUCUUUUGGAGCCUGCGUACUGUCCACAUCCGGGCUUCUCACGUGUCAAAACAAACGCUCAAGUGUUCCUACCUAAAGUUUGGUCCUUUGUGCUCUGUGUUUAGCUGACUUCAUACAAUACAACCAGAUACAUGCAACAGUUGUAGUAGUUAACUCCAGACACGUUCAUUAGAGACAACUUUCUCUGUUGCUGUUAGUAACAGUAACGUCGCCAACAUCGUGGAUGUUUACAGGAGUGUCCCUCGUCCUCAGGGUCAAUGGCGUCCUGUGUAACAGAGUUGAUAACAUUUUGUUCCAACAUCAUUUUGUCUGCCACAGCAUUGUAUUCUUCUUACAGACUCUUUAAGGAUCACAGGGCUCCUUCUGUAGGCCUUUUCGUGCUUGGACUCUCCGCAGCACUUUGCAUCUUGCAUCCUUUCAGCUCAUACCUCGCCUCUAUCCAGAGAGAAGCAGAGUGGGCCGGCGAGGUUCUGGCUCCAGCGCUGGUCUCCUUUGACUUCCUGUGGCUCAGUGAAGACCGGAACACGGCACAUAUCCUCCUGAGUGGCUCCUGUCUGCUGCUGGGACUGUGUGACUGGCUCUCAGCCGAUGCUCUCACACUGAUGACACGCUGCCUCGGUUUGUCUUCCCUGUCCUGCUGCCUGACAGUCUGUCUGUUUGCCGGUAAUGCUUUAGGGGCCUUUAGUGGUGUGGCCCUCAGCCUCCCGUUGCUUGUUGCUCAGAGGGUCGGGACAAACACUUUUGCUCCACUCAUUUCUCCAGCCGCAACUGAGGAUCUCACCAAGUGGCUUUUAAAGGGCGUCAUGUCUGUCGGCUGUUGGGCCUCCACACAGGCCCUCAGCAGGUUUCUGUUGGAUGUGACUGACCAAUGUAACAUAGACAUUUAGUAAAUCAGUGGAGGUGUUUGUUGAUGGACUGUCUAAGUGGUACAGAGUGACCAAAUGGAUUUCUGCAAAAAUGAAUGUACCUAACUCACAAGCAUUUCAGAACAUUUGUGAGGAAGAGUUGAGUUGCAUUAACUUCAUUGCCAUUACAACGAACAUUAUCAACAGUGCAACAGAACAGACAACUUACUAAUAAUAAAAGACCAUAUUACAAGUACCAUUUAACUUGUAUUUUAAUGUAAGUCGACAACAGCUGGUUCCAGCUUCUCAAAUGUGAGGAUGUGCUGCUUCUCUCAUUGUUACGUCCUCAUAAAUGAGAUAGAUAGAUGGAUAGAUAGAUAGAUACUUACUUUAUUUAUCCCGAGGGAAAUUCAGGAUUGGGGUUAAAGACUGUUGUUCUGACAAAACAAUUUGAAGACUUCACUUUGGGCAUUGGGAAAUUGACAAGCAUUUCAAACUAUAUUCUGACUUGUUAUAGAUGAAAUGAUUGAUUGAUGAAUCUAAGACAAUAUCGAUGGAAUAAUCAAAACGCAAAUAGAAUGUUAGUUGCAACACCGGUUUCUAAAUUGGAGGCCACAUGCACUGAAGUAUAACAUGCUUUUGUAUAUGGAUGUUAAGGGACCGAAUACAAGCAAUUAUCAUCGAGCAAAAUCAUUAAGGCUGAGCUAUAUGGAAAAACAAAUAUGAUAACUGCUUUUCAUAUAUAACAUGCUAAUUGGUAACAAGUAUUUCAGAAAUCUGAUUUAGUCAAUUCUUUGUGGUACUUAUGAAGUCUCACAUUGGAUGUUUUACUGUAAUUUACAGUAUCUGGUAAAAUAGACCUUGGCUAAACUUAAUGUGAACUUUAAUUAGAAAAAAAGCAGAUUAAACAAAACCCAGAUGCCACUGAACUCAUUUGCAUGUGACCACAAUUUACAUCUGAUAGCCCAUGGUGGUAUUCUGCAUGACUGUGAUGCAGCAAUGACCUUUUUAGACAUAUUUUAAUGUCCUGCUAACAUUUAUUAUGCCGAAUGUGGGCGCUUUAAUUUGCUAUGUGAUCAUUUCCAAGACUGACUCCUAAAACAUCCAGCUGCCUCAGAGUCCGGGUCCUAUUUGUUUUGCAGCCUCAGCAGUAUCUCUGUUUAAAUAUCUGCAGUGGUCUAAGCUCUUGCCCUGCUCUUACCUCAUCGUGCCCAUUUGAUACUUAUCAAUGCACUUCUUUUUUUUGUAUUACUUCCUUGGUUUUUAAUUGCUGUCAUUUUAACAGAAAUGACCUCAUGUGUUUAACUCUUCUUCUACAGUGUUGUCCUGGCUAGAUAUUAAUAUUCUGCACAGAUAUUUGAAGGGGACACUGCAGAUUCUCGCUCACGAUUACAGAGUUGGGAGCAGCUGCCUCAGCAGUUUUACUGCAGUAUAAUAACAAGAGUCUGUGGCUGUGUUCCUGUCUGUGGGACAAUGUCUUUGUCACACCUCAGGACACAGGUGACGAGGGACAUUUACAAGGUAUUCGAUAAUUGUGUACUCACCUGUGAGGUGCCAGAAUGAUCAUGCUAAUUGUUCUGUGAUUCAUCAUUAAGUUCAUGUCUUUUUUUGGCAACAUGGAAGUGUUGUGUGUCACACGUUGUACGUUUAUUUAUUAUCUUAUUUAAUUUGUUGACAUAAAUGUGAGAACUAAAGCUUGAUUUAGUUGACAUAACUUGAAUAAAUUAUUUAAAUGUUUAACAAAAAAUGACACCAAUUAAA
rnacentral:lncRNA from 1 species